CGGUCAGCUUCGGUAGAAACGUA
rnacentral:siRNA from 1 species